GACGAACGCUGGCGGCGUGCUUAACACAUGCAAGUCGAACGGAAAGGCCCUGCUUUUGUGGGGUGCUCGAGUGGCGAACGGGUGAGUAACACGUGUGUAACCUGCCCUUGACUUUGGGAUAACUUCAGGAAACUGGGGCUAAUACCGGAUAGGAGCUCCUGCUGCAUGGUGGGGGUUGGAAAGUUUCGGCGGUUGGGGAUGGACUCGCGGCUUAUCAGCUUGUUGGUGGGGUAGUGGCUUACCAAGGCUUUGACGGGUAGCCGGCCUGAGAGGGUGACCGGCCACAUUGGGACUGAGAUACGGCCCAGACGCCUACGGGAGGCAGCAGUGGGGAAUAUUGCACAAUGGGCGGAAGCCUGAUGCAGCAACGCCGCGUGCGGGAUGACGGCCUUCGGGUUGUAAACCGCUUUCGCCUGUGACGAAGCGUGAGUGACGGUAAUGGGUAAAGAAGCACCGGCUAACUACGUG
rnacentral:rRNA from 1 species